GGGCGGGGGGGUGCUAUACUGCAAGUCGAGCGGACAGAAGGGAGCUUGCUCCCGGAUGUUAGCGGCGGACGGGUGAGUAACACGUGGGUAACCUGCCUGUAAGACUGGGAUAACUCCGGGAAACCGGAGCUAAUACCGGAUAGUUCCUUGAACCGCAUGGUUCAAGGAUGAAAGACGGUUUCGGCUGUCACUUACAGAUGGACCCGCGGCGCAUUAGCUAGUUGGUGGGGUAAUGGCUCACCAAGGCGACGAUGCGUAGCCGACCUGAGAGGGUGAUCGGCCACACUGGGACUGAGACACGGCCCAGACUCCUACGGGAGGCAGCAGUAGGGAAUCUUCCGCAAUGGACGAAAGUCUGACGGAGCAACGCCGCGUGAGUGAUGAAGGUUUUCGGAUCGUAAAGCUCUGUUGUUAGGGAAGAACAAGUGCGAGAGUAACUGCUCGCACCUUGACGGUACCUAACCAGAAAGCCACGGCUAACUACGUGCCAGCAGCCGCGGUAAUACGUAGGUGGCAAGCGUUGUCCGGAAUUAUUGGGCGUAAAGGGCUCGCAGGCGGUUUCUUAAGUCUGAUGUGAAAGCCCCCGGCUCAACCGGGGAGGGUCAUUGGAAACUGGGAAACUUGAGUGCAGAAGAGGAGAGUGGAAUUCCACGUGUAGCGGUGAAAUGCGUAGAGAUGUGGAGGAACACCAGUGGCGAAGGCGACUCUCUGGUCUGUAACUGACGCUGAGGAGCGAAAGCGUGGGGAGCGAACAGGAUUAGAUACCCUGGUAGUCCACGCCGUAAACGAUGAGUGCUAAGUGUUAGGGGGUUUCCGCCCCUUAGUGCUGCAGCUAACGCAUUAAGCACUCCGCCUGGGGAGUACGGUCGCAAGACUGAAACUCAAAGGAAUUGACGGGGGCCCGCACAACCGGUGGAGCAUGUGGUUUAAUUCGAAGCAACGCGAAGAACCUUACCAGGUCGUGACAUCCUCUGACACCCCUACAGAUAGGGCUUUCCCUUCGCGGACAGAGGACAAGGUGUUGCAGGGGUGUCGUCCCCUCCGGCCCGGA
rnacentral:rRNA from 1 species